rnacentral:rRNA from 1 species
GAUCAUGGCUCAGAACGAACGCUGGCGGCAGGCUUAACACAUGCAAGUUGAACGGGAACAUACGAUAGCUUGCUAUAGUAUGUGAGAGUGGCGCACGGGUGAGUAAUACAUGGGAACAUACCUUAAAGUGGGGGAUAACUUCUGGAAACGGAUGCUAAUACCGCAUAUACCCUGAGGGGGAAAGAUUUAUCGCUUUAAGAUUGGCCCAUGGCAGAUUAGGUAGUUGGUGGGGUAAAGGCCUACCAAGCCG